UACGUAGGGUGCAAGCGUUAAUCGGAAUUACUGGGCGUAAAGCGUGCGCAGGCGGUUUUGUAAGACCGAUGUGAAAUCCCCGGGCUUAACCUGGGAACUGCAUUGGUGACUGCAAGGCUUGAGUGUGUCAGAGGGAGGUGGAAUUCCGCGUGUAGCAGUGAAAUGCGUAGAUAUGCGGAGGAACACCGAUGGCGAAGGCAGCCUCCUGGGAUAACACUGACGCUCAUGCACGAAAGAGUGGGUAGCAAACAGG
rnacentral:rRNA from 1 species